rnacentral:rRNA from 1 species
GAUGAACGCUAGCGGCAGGCUUAACACAUGCAAGUCGAGGGGCAGCACGGGUAGCAAUACCUGGUGGCGACCGGCGCAAGGGUGCGUAACGCGUGAGCAACAUGCCCUAUACAGGGGGAUAAUCCAGGGAAACUUGGUCUAAUAUCCCAUAGUAUUUAGAGGAGGCAUCUUCUAUAAAUUAAAGCUUCGGUGGUAUAGGAUUGGCUCGCGUGACAUUAGCUAGAUGGUGAGGUAACGGCUCACCAUGGCAAUGAUGUCUAGGGGUUCUGAGAGGAAGGCCCCCCACACUGGGACUGAGACACGGCCCAGACUCCUACGGGAGGCAGCAGUGAGGAAUAUUGGACAAUGGAUGGAAAUCUGAUCCAGCCAUGCCGCGUGCAGGAAGACAGCCCUAUGGGUUGUAAACUGCUUUUAAUGGGACAAUAAGGGCUACGUGUAGCCUGAUGAGAGUACCAUACGAAUAAGGACGGA